GAGUUUGAUCCUGGCUCAGAACGAACGCUGGCGGCGUGGAUAAGACAUGCAAGUCGAACGGGAGAAUUGCUAGCUUGCUAAUAAUUCUCUAGCGGCGCACGGGUGAGUAACACGUGAGUAACCUGCCCCCGAGAGCGGGAUAGCCCUGGGAAACUGGGAUUAAUACCGCAUAGUAUCGAAAGAUUAAAGCAGCAAUGCGCUUGGGGAUGGGCUCGCGGCCUAUUAGUUAGUUGGUGAGGUAACGGCUCACCAAGGCGAUGACGGGUAGCCGGUCUGAGAGGAUGUCCGGCCACACUGGAACUGAGACACGGUCCAGACACCUACGGGUGGCAGCAGUCGAGAAUCAUUCACAAUGGGGGAAACCCUGAUGGUGCGACGCCGCGUGGGGGAAUGAAGGUCUUCGGAUUGUAAACCCCUGUCAUGUGGGAGCAAAUUAAAAAGAUAGUACCACAAGAGGAAGAGACGGCUAACUCUGUGCCAGCCGCCGCGGUAAU
rnacentral:rRNA from 1 species